CAGCAGCCACGGUAAUACGUAGGGUGCAAGCGUUAAUCGGAAUUACUGGGCGUAAAGCGUGCGCAGGCGGUUUGUUAAGACAGAUGUGAAAUCCCCGGGCUUAACCUGGGAACUGCAUUUGUGACUGGCAAGCUAGAGUAUGGCAGAGGGGGGUGGAAUUCCGCGUGUAGCAGUGAGAUGCGUAGAUAUGCGGAGGAACACCGAUGGCGAAGGCAGCCCCCUGGGCCAAUACUGACGCUCAUGCACGAAAGCGUGGGGAGCAAACAGGAUUAGAUACCCCUGUAGUCCCUGUCUCUUAUAC
rnacentral:rRNA from 1 species